GGGGCUGUGGCUCAAUGGUAGAACAUCUGUUUGGCAUGCAAAAGUUCCCAGGUUCAAUCCCUGGCAGCUCCA